UGUCUCUUGUCUAUUUGAACUACAAUUGUCCUAGAGUGACAACCAAACCAUCUAAUUGUAUGUGAUAAACAAUCCAUACCGGAAAAUAUAUUCGAUUUUGAACUCACUCAAGUGCUGGAAACAGUCCGAGGGCUGUUAUUGAAAGCGCAUUCUCUGCCGGGCUUAGGCGGUCACAAGACUUGGACAUCCAUGUACAAAAACAUCCGCACUGCAAUUAGCGGACACAGGUCAGUUUCUAGCCCAUAGGCCACUGAGAAACACCUCUGCCUUCAACAGGCCUCGCAACUUUGGCAACUUAGUUCACAUUCAGUUGCGCGCAUUGGAUAACCUACCUUUCCCCAAAUGGAAACCUCAGCAUUACUCUCGCUUAUCCAAAUUCGACAUUGGAACAUUGUUUUUCCUAAAGAGGUAUAAGGAGCAAAGUGGUAUUCUUAUCCCACAUUCAGUGAUGGUUUUAGACGUAACGGAUGGUUGAGGUUGCAAGGAGGGGCACAUGCCAAACGGAGCGAAUAGCAGUGGAAGAAAUUAAAACAAAGAUGUCAACAGUUGCCUACCACCCACUCGAAAUCGAUUGUAUUACCUUCAAGAAGCUCGCUGAACGUAUAAAACGGGACGCAUGAUUUCAAGACUCAGAAGACUUGUUGCAGACAACGGAAUCUUCUCCCAAAAAGCAAAACAAUCGACAACGUCUAUAGAGAUUUGACACAGACAACUCGCGUCCACUUUUUAGGACAUAAGCCUCCUUUAAUACAUUAAACUAGAAUAGCCAUGCAGGCAGUGAGGAAAUGCCACAUACUGUCCAGUUUAUUCCUUCUGCUGAUCAGCUCGGGCCAGUGCAUGGACAGCAAGGAGGUGAGGCAGAAAGAGAGAAGGAUCCUGCUGGACCAUGUCUUACAGGUUAACGGAGACAGCCAACAGGGGGACAAGCCUUCAGUUUCCAGUCGCUAUAACAGUGGCCUCUUCCCCGCAGCCCAAGACAUGAAGUUCUCCUCUGGAGAAAAGCCUUUAUAUGUUCCUAGGCUGGAUAACAGCAAACCCAUAGAUAAUGUCCCAAGAGAUAUAAACCUGAAAGACAAGUUCAUAAAGCAUUUCACAGGACCAGUCAAGUUCUCAUCAGAAUGUAGAACACAUUUUCAUAGACUCUAUCACAACACAAGGGAUUGUUCAAGACCAGCAUACUACAAAAGAUGUGCAAGAUUGCUAACACGGCUAGCGAUGAGUCCACUUUGCUCACAAUCGUAGACAUUGCAUGCUCAAAAUUUUGAAAGAGGGAUAUAUGUUUUGCCCAGGAAGUGCCUUCAAUUCACAGCAGUCACAUUAAGAACAUAUUAUUGUAAUUGUUUAUAGUAUUUUUAUUUGUGUUGUUGAUACUGUAUGUAUAUGAAAAUGCUGGCAGCCUUUAUUGGUUUUAUGAAAGAUUUUCUUUUUAUCUUCAUGUAACAUUUAUUUUUAAGAAAACCAUAAUUUAAUAUUGAAUACACCAAUUUAUUGAAAUGAUAUGUAUAUAAUUCAUCACAAUAAUUCAGAAAUAUACAAUUAUUUUCUUAAAGUUCUCACAUAAUGAAGAUAUUUUCUUCUCAUCAUGUCUGAAUUAAUCUCACUUAAUAUUAUUUGCUUUGUCAAUAUUACAUUCUGAGACGGUCCUACCAUGGUCGUUGAGAUAUUUAUUUCACUGUCCUUGUCUCCAUUGUAUUUAAUUUGGCACUUGAAUGAUUCCAGUCAAUGAAAACAUGUUGAAUGACGACGAAUGUAAUAAUGCACUGCAGUACUAAACAAUAAAAAAUAUUGA